rnacentral:rRNA from 1 species
AAUAAUGAUUUUAAUUAUAUUAAUGCUAAUCAAAAAAGUAAACAUUUAAAAAAAAAAAAAAUAAAUAAAUAAAUAAAUAUUUCAUUCAUAGAAAAUAGUAAUAAUGAUAUUAGUACUAAUAAUAAUAAUAAUCAUUAUCAUUAUCAUUAUCAUAAUUAUCAUCAUCAUCAUCAUCAUCAUAGUAAAUAAUAUUAAUAAAAUUAGGAAAUAAUUAAAUUAAUAGAAAUAAUUUUGAUAGAGAUAGUUAAUAAUAAUAUUAAAUAAUGACAGUAAUAAAAAUUACGAUAAUAAUAAUAAUAAUAACACAAACAUUUAUAAUUUUUUUCUUUUUAAAAAAUAUUUAUUAUUAAUAUAUUAAUACUAUUUUAAAUAACUAAUAUCACUUUAGAAAUAAUUUUUUUCUUUUUUUUUUAAAUACAAAUCAAAACCCACAUUCAAUUUUCAUAUAGUUAUUACUACAAAUUUAAUUGAGUCUUUAAUCAAUUAAAAUUCCCAUCCCAAUAUUUAUAACUUAAGUAAUUAUUUUAUUACUAACUUACUUAAUUUAAUCUUUAAUUAAUUCAAACCCCACAUAUACUUUUCCUCAGGCAAUUAUUAUCUCAUACUUGAGUAUUUAAUUAAUAAUUCAAACUCUACAUAUACUUUUACUCAGGCAAUUGUUAUUUUACAUUUUAUUUACUCUUAAAUAAUCAUUCAAACUCUACAUAUACUUUUUCUCAGGCAAUUAUUACCUCAUACUUGAGUAUUUAAUUAAUAAUUCAAACUCUACAUAUACUUUUAUUCAGGCAAUUGUUAUUUUAUAUUUUAUUUACUCUUAAAUAAUCAUUCAAACUCUACAUAUACUUUUUCUCAGACAAUUGUUACCUCAUACUUGAGUAUUUAAUUUAUAAUUCAAACUCUACAUAUACUUUUACUCAGGCAAUUGUUAUUUUAUAUUUUAUUUACUCUUAAAUAAUCAUUCAAACUCUACAUAUACUUUUUCUCAGACAAUUAUUACCUCAUACUUGAGUAUUUAAUUAAUAAUUCAAACCCCACAUAUACUUUUACUCAGGCAAUUAUUACCUCAUACUUGAGUAUUUAAUUAAUAAUUCAAACUCUAAAUAUACUUUUUCUCAGACAAUUAUUACUUCGUAUUUGAAUAUUUAAUUAUUAAUUCAAAUACUACAUAAAUAUUCAAUAUUUCAUAACUUAAGUAAUUAUUUUUGUUAUUAAUUUACUUAAAUCAAUCUUUAAUUAAUUGAAAUAUAAAUUUUUUAUCUCAAAAAAAAAAAAAAUCAUUCAUCAUUGUCUUAAUCUUCUUAAUUCUUCCAUACAAUUUUUCUGAAUAUCUUUAUAUAAUUCUUCUAAUGAAUUAUUCAUUAAUAUUUUCACACCAAAUAAAUUUUUUGUUAAAAAUUCCAUACCAUUUAUUUUUAAUAUAUUCUUUUCAAUAUUAUAUUGAUAUGAUAUUUUUUCACAUUCAUUAUCAAUUAUAAUAUUAUUUAUUAUUGUACAUUUACAUUUAUUUUCUAUUGGUACACCAAUAUAAUAAUGAUUAUUAUUAAUAUCAUCAUUAUAUUCAAAUAUUCCAAAUGAUAUUUUAUUCUUAUUUAAAUAAUCUUUAUAACUUAAAUAUUUACCACCAUUAUUAUAAAAUUCUUUAAAUAUUAUUUUAUUAUUUAAAUUAUCAAUAUAUUCUAAUUCUUCUUCUUUUUCUUCUUGUUUUUUUACAAAAUUUAUUAUAUCUUCUAAUUUUAUUAUUUCUUCAUUAAAAUCUCUUAAAUAUUUUGGUAUUUCUGGUAUUUCUUUUAAUUGAUAAGAAUAAUAUUUUGCAACUAUUGAAUUAACUUUAUAAAUAUCCAUAAAAUUAGUAUUAUUAUUAUUAUUAUUAUUAUUUUUUAUUGGAGUUAAUCUAUAUUUAUUAUCUUCUACAUCUAAUAUUAAUUUUGAUUCACAAUAUAUUUUUCCAAUAAGAAAAUUUUUAUUAAUAUUAUUAUAAAAUAUUAUUCUUAAUGCUUCAAAAUCACUUUUAGGUCCAUAAUUUUUAGUUAAAUGAUAAUAAUUAAAUGGAUAAGGAUAUACUUUAUUACAAUUUAAAGUAAUAUUAUAUUUAUUUAAAAAUGGAAAUGUUAAUAAUUCAUUACCUUGUGUAAUUGCAACAAGGUAAUUAUUAUUAAUAGUAUCAUUUAUAGUAUUUAUUAUUAAUAUCAUAUGGAACAAAAUGUUGUUCAUAAAGUGUCAUAUGAUGACGAUCAUUAGUAAAUAUGGUAAAAAGAUUCAUUCCAUAUGUAUAUUUAAAUAAUAAUAAUAAUAAUAAUAUUAAAUAAUUAAUAAAAUUCAUCUUUAUUUUAUAAUAUUAAUAUUACUAGUAAUAAUUUAUCUAUAAUUUUUUUUUUUUUUUUUUUUAAUACAAAAUAAUUUAUUUUUAGUGUCAAUUUAAGAUCAUUAUUUAAUCAUUUUAUGCGGUAAUAUUAAGACAUUUUAUUUUCUUUUAUUUUUAUUAAUUUUCAUAUAAUGUCAAAUCAAGAUCUCUUUUUUUUUUUUUUUUCUUUUCAUCUCUUUUUUUUUUUUUUCUUUU